rnacentral:rRNA from 1 species
UACGAAGGGGGCUAGCGUUGUUCGGAAUUACUGGGCGUAAAGCGUGCGUAGGUGGUUUGUUAAGUCAGAUGUGAAAGCCCCGGGCUCAACCUGGGAAUUGCAUUUGAUACUGGCUAACUAGAGUGAGGUAGAGGAGAGUGGAAUUCCCGGUGUAGCAGUGAAAUGCGUAGAGAUCGGGAGGAACAUCAGUUGCGAAGGCGGCUCUCUGGACCAUCACUGACACUGAGGCACGAAAGCGUGGGGAGCAAACAGG